GACAGAGGGUGCAACCGUUGCUCGGAAUCACUGGGCGUAAAGGGCGUGUAGGCGGGCAGGUAAGUCGGGCGUGAAAUCCCUGAGCUCAACUCAGGAACUGCACUCGAAACUACUUUUCUUGAGUGCCGGAGAGGAAAGCGGAAUUCCUGGUGUAGAGGUGAAAUUCGUAGAUAUCAGGAGGAACACCAGUGGCGAAGGCGGCUUUCUGGACGGUAACUGACGCUGAGACGCGAAAGCGUGGGGAGCAAACAGG
rnacentral:rRNA from 1 species